rnacentral:rRNA from 1 species
AUUGAACGCUGGCGGCAGGCCUAACACAUGCAAGUCGAGCGAGCGGCGGACGGGUGAGUAACACGUGGGAACCUACCCAUCAGAGGGGGAUAACACUUGGAAACAGGUGCUAAUACCGCAUAUUGAUGGAUGGACCCGCGGUGCAUUAGCUAGUUGGUGAGGUAACGGCUCACCAAGGCCACGAUGCAUAGCCGACCUGAGAGGGUGAUCGGCCACACUGGAACUGAGACACGGUCCAGACUCCUACGGGAGGCAGCAGUGGGGAAUAUUGCACAAUGGGCGCAAGCCUGAUGCAGCCAUGCCGCGUGUGUGAAGAAGGCCUUCGGGUUGUAAAGCACUUUCAGCGGGGAGGCGUUACCCGCAGAAGAAGCACCGGCUAACUCCGUGCCAGCAGCCGCGGUAAUAUC